UAAGGAAUAUUGGUCAAUGGAGGCAACUCUGAACCAGCCAUGCCGCGUGAAGGAUUAAGGCCCUCUGGGUUGUAAACUUCUUUUAUAUGGGAAGAAAUGUUCUGAUUCUUCAGAGCUUGACGGUACCAUAGGAAUAAGCACCGGCUAACUCCGUGCCAGCAGCCGCGGUAAUACGGAGGGUGCAAGCGUUAUCCGGAUUCACUGGGUUUAAAGGGUGCGUAGGUGGGCAGAUAAGUCAGUGGUGAAAUCUUCCGGCUUAACCGGAAAAUUGCCGUUGAUACUAUUUGUAUUGAAUAUUGUGGAGGUAAGCGGAAUAUGUCAUGUAGCGGUGAAAUGCUUAGAUAUGACAUAGAACACCAAUUGCGAAGGCAGCUUACUAUAUAAUUAUUGACACUGAGGCACGAAAGCGUGGGUAGCGAACA
rnacentral:rRNA from 1 species